rnacentral:rRNA from 1 species
GCCAGCUUGACUGCGAGCGUGACGGCGCGAGCAGGUGCGAAAGCAGGUCAUAGUGAUCCGGUGGUUCUGAAUGGAAGGGCCAUCGCUCAACGGAUAAAAGGUACUCCGGGGAUAACAGGCUGAUACCGCCCAAGAGUUCAUAUCGACGGCGGUGUUUGGCACCUCGAUGUCGGCUCAUCACAUCCUGGGGCUGAAGUAGGUCCCAAGGGUAUGGCUGUUCGCCAUUUAAAGUGGUACGCGAGCUGGGUUUAGAACGUCGUGAGACAGUUCGGUCCCUAUCUGCCGUGGGCGCUGGAGAACUGAGGGGGGCUGCUCCUAGUACGAGAGGACCGGAGUGGACGCAUCACUGGUGUUCGGGUUGUCAUGCCAAUGGCACUGCCCGGUAGCUAAAUGCGGAAGAGAUAAGUGCUGAAAGCAUCUAAGCACGAAACUUGCCCCGAGAUGAGUUCUCCCUGACUCCUUGAGAGUCCUGAAGGAACGUUGAAGACGACGACGUUGAUAGGCCGGGUGUGUAAGCGCAGCGAUGCGUUGAGCUAACCGGUACUAAUGAACCGUGAGG